rnacentral:rRNA from 1 species
GAUGAACGCUGACAGAAUGCUUAACACAUGCAAGUCUACUUGAUUCUACUUCGGUAGUUGAUGGUGGCGGACGGGUGAGUAACGCGUAAAGAAUCUGCCCUUUAGUUUGGGAUAACCUUUGGAAACGAAGGCUAAUACCGAAUAUUAUGGAGAGGUCACAUGACGACUUCAUGAAAGCUAUAUGCGCUAGAGGAGGACUUUGCGUCCCAUUAGUUAGUUGGUGAGGUAAUGUCUCACCAAGACCGCGAUGGGUAGCCGGCCUGAGAGGGUGAUCGGCCACAAGGGAACUGAGACACGGUCCUUACUCCUACGGGAGGCAGCAGUGGGGAAUAUUGGACAAUGGACCACAAGUCUGAUCCAGCAAUUCUGUGUGCACGAUGAAGGUCUUCGGAUUGUAAAGUGCUUUCAGUAGGGAAGAAAAAAAUGACGGUACCUACAGAAGAAGCGACGGCUAAAUAUGUGCCAGCCGCCGCCGUAA